rnacentral:tRNA from 1 species
GCCAGCAUGGUGUAGUGGUUUGAGCACAGGCCUAUGACUCUGGAGACCAAGGUUCAAAUCCUGGUUUGGCG